rnacentral:tRNA from 1 species
GGCGAUUAUAAUUUUCACUUACAAUGAAAGAUACCCUUAGGGCGUCUUUAUAUUGUUAAAACUAUGAUA